GAUUUCCCCAGUCUUGACUCAGCAGUUUCCCUCAGCAGCGUUUAUUGGUUUGGUUUCCUGCCACCACCUCCCCCGGAAAGCGGCAGCCCGGGAGCGCCCGGAUUGCACGGACGGGUUUGCUGGGAGCUGUCCGUGUGCUGCCCCGGGGCUCGCACAGCCCGAGGUGUCACCCCGCGCCGCACAGCCCGAGGUGUCACCCUGCUCCGCACAGCCCGAGGUGUCACCCUGCUCCGCGCAGCCCGAGGUGUCACCCUGCUCCGCGCAGCCCGAGGUGUCACCCUGCUCCGCACAGCCCGAGGUGUCACCCUGCGCCGCGCAGCCCGAGGUGUCACCCUGCGCCGCGCAGCCCCGCGCUUCCCUGCGCCGCGCAGCCGAGCGCUCAGCGCACGGCUGCGCGCUGGGGCUGUGCGCGGAGGGAAACUCGCCAAGAGCUGCUGCCACAGUCCCGAGAAGGUCCCUGUGCUUCACACCCCUCUGCCAAGUGAAUCUGCAACCUCUCUGGCCGGCAUGAAUACAUUCCCCUUUCCACCUCUUCCGCGUGAAAUGGAAUCAAAUCCUUUCUCUGCCUCCUGGGAAGGAAUAAUUGGUUCUGCCAUAAUCUUUUCCCUGAAAGAAAACCACAGGAAUUGCCCUUUUGCUUAGAGAUAUCUAAAAGAAUAAAUAAAAACACAUUAGAAUAAAGUCAUGAUUACUGCA